ensembl:ncRNA lncRNA:CR43930 long non-coding RNA:CR43930
ACAUCCAAGCGCAACUUCAUAAAAACUGAUAGCUUAAAUGCGAUAUUUGUGUGAGUUGCAUUGGCAGAUUAGAUACAUUCCAGUGGAAUUGGCUGGGGGCUGGAAAAUCACAGACCUACUAAACCUUUCGUUGGGUUUGUUGGUUUUGUGACCCAGACCUUUUACGUUUGCUUUAAGGACUUGAGGAACAAUAAUAUCCUACAUAUUGGUUAUUAUUGGUUUAGCCGAACAAGGAAAUCAAAGGAUAAAACACCGAAUAAAAGAUUUGAACAUAUUUUACAAACCCAUCCCCCUUCCCCGAUGCCCCAUGGCGAAGUGCACUUCAUCUGGAUAAAAAUUUGCUGUUGGCGGGUCCGAGAUUUCCAUGGUCUGUCAGUUUCCGUUCCCCGGUCCCGGCUCAUCCGAUGGUCAGUGGACCCAGAUGCAGAGACAAAUUUAUAGGAAUCAUUCUAAGAAUUAAUAAAUCUCAAGUUUCCAGUCGUUCCG